rnacentral:rRNA from 1 species
AUGGCCCUUAUGGGUAGGGCUUCACACGUCAUACAAUGGUCGGUACAGAGGGUUGCCGAGCCGCGAGGUGGAGCCAAUCCCUUAAAGCCGAUCGUAGUCCGGAUCGUAGUCUGCAACUCGACUACGUGAAGUCGGAAUCGCUAGUAAUCGCAGAUCAGCAUGCUGCGGUGAAUACGUUCCCGGGUCCUU